rnacentral:ncRNA from 1 species
GAAAGCCGUAUGAUGGGAAACUAUCACGUACGGUUUGGGAAAGGUUUUUUGGCUAAUGAUAAUCAUCGGUUACUUUUGAUUGUUGGGGCCAAUCUACUAUUUCAC